rnacentral:rRNA from 1 species
GACAGAGGAUGCAAGCGUUAUCCGGAAUGAUUGGGCGUAAAGAGCGCGUAGGCGGCGCGGUACGACCGCUGUGAAAGCCCCCAGCUCAACUGGGGAGGGUCAGCGGUAACGGCCGUGCUUUGAGUGCAGGAGAGGGAAGUGGAACUCCGGGAGUAGCGGUGAAAUGCGUAGAGACCCGGAGGAACACCAGUGGCGAAGGCGGCUUCCUGGUCUGCGACUGACGCUGUGGCGCGAAAGCUAGGGGAGCAAACGGG